GACAUGUCAAGGUUUUUUUUUUAUUUUAUGGCUAAAUGGUUGAUUAUCCAUCUAUAUAAUAAUAUAUAAAAAUUAAUUGCUGUUCGUUAGUCUCGCUAAAACUCGAGAACGGCUGGACCGAUUUGGCUAAUUUUGGUCUUGAAUUAUUUCUGGAAGUCCAGAGAAGGUUUAAAAGGCGGGACAAGCAUACGGCCCACUUGAUGGUGACAGGCCUCCGUCGCCCAUGGACUUCAGCAAUACCAGAGGCAGACUCAAGCUACUGAGAGGCUGCGAGUGGCAGAUAUAGUAGAUAAGAAUGGAUAAGAGGUAGCUAAAGCAGUUCUAUGGGGUAUAUCGGAGACGGUCUUUCCACGUUGUGAUAAAAUCAAACCCGCGAAAAAUAUAAUUUGCAUAAUUACUGUAGGUAGAGCGUACUAUAAAGCUUGCACAGGCAGGCAUCAACAUUUUCUCAAUCUCUGCUGCAAAGUUGUCUGCCGUGAAGUUGCGAAGAAGUCCGAUUUCAAGGGUAGAGUAGUCGUGCUGCUACAGAAUUGGGACUGCGCCCUCGUGUCUCAAGGUCCAAGGUUGACCGUCAUAUUUCUAUGGGAUUGAGUAGUCACUUAAAUCAGAUCAGCCGUGAGCUCGUUCUCCGUUCUAUGGAAUCGGGAUCUACUAAGAAGGUCCGGCCUGAAAGUCUAUAGGUUGUCUCUAUGGGUUAAGUUGGACGUCAAACUCUCGAGUUAGACGAGAAAGGUGACUGGUAUUCGGAAUGCCUGAAAGCAUGUAGAUUGGAUAGAGUGGAUCGGGAGGAUCUGAAAGGAAUCAACUAUAGUGCUAAGCCGGUACCGAAUCAAAAGUUAAAGUGGUAAUUUUGUAAUAUUUUUAUUAUUGCUACAAAACCUAGUUGUAGUAUUAGAAGCUGUACAGGGGUCUAUACAAUGAACAACAAUAAAACAAUUAACAGUUUAGUUUCGUUUUUAAUUAAUACAUAAUAUAAUGUUUUUGGGUACGUCAGAAUGAAAAAACAAUUAAUUAAUAAUUGCGUUUUUUGUUAUAUCUUUAAUAAGAAAACAUUUGAAGCCCUUAAUCUAAUAAAAUUGAUAUUUUAAACAAACUAAA